GUCACCGCAGCCAUUGCUAUGCUCAUAUUUACGUCUUUUUAAAAGGAGAAGAGAGAGGAAGAAGCCGAACUGUUUCCUACCGUACUGGCCUGUUCUGAAGGAACUUCAAGUCGUUACUUCUCUCAUCUUGAUAAAAAAAAAAAAAACAACAAAAAACCACGCUAAGGGAAUUUCAGCGGAAGCCUGCCCUUCCCGUGGCGGUAUUGAAGAGCGGGGCUGUACUGGAAACCACCAAACGCCAGCCUGCUGUGCUGGGGAUAAGCUCUGUAGGCGCAAAGAGGAUUGAAGUACAGUCCGCAGCGGCUGGAGCACACAGCAGAGGGGCAGCCUCUGGCUGAUGAGAGGGUUUAAAACCUCGGGCCCGUUGACCGCCAGGAGCUGAGAAGGCUUCUCAGGAUGUCUGCCGAACCAGCCAGUUGAGGCUGAAAUACUUUUCAAGACACUGGUUUAGGAAAUAUGUAUGCAGGAACAACAAAGGAGACAACGCGACCUCUGGUGUCCUUUGGCUGGAAGAUUAAAUGAAGUUUGCCAGCAGGAGAGAGGAGCACAUGCUCUGCAGGCCACUGCUGGUGCAUGGGGCAGCGCUCCGGGGCCGGCCACAAGCCACAAGGGACAGGGCUCUCUGCUUCAAACACACAGCCCUGGGUAGCUCACACUCACAGCACCGGGGUAAAACCGCGGCGUCUGCCACAAAGUACCCUCCAUGCCCACCAGCUGCUGAAUACCCCCCCUCAGCAGGAGCUAGGACUGUCC